UACGUAGGGCGCAAGCGUUGUCCGGAAUUAUUGGGCGUAAAGAGCUCGUAGGCGGUCUGUCACGUCUGCCGUGAAAACCCGAGGCUUAACCUCGUGGCUUGCGGUGGAUACGGGCAGACUAGAGGUAGGUAGGGGAGAACGGAAUUCCCGGUGUAGCGGUGAAAUGCGCAGAUAUCAGGAGGAACACCGGUGGCGAAGGCGGGUCUCUGGGCCGAUACUGACGUGAGGAGCGAAAGCGUGGGGAGCAACAGG
rnacentral:rRNA from 1 species